rnacentral:sRNA from 1 species
AAGGCCCCUUCCGUGCUGAGAGGUCCUGCUAUGAUAUGUCGUCAGCUCGUGUCGUGAGAUGUUGGGUUAAGUCCCGCAACGAGCGCAACCCUUGUCUCUAGUUGCUACGAAAGGGCACUCUAGAGAGACUGCCGGUGACAAACCGGAGGAAGGUGGGGAUGACGUCAAGUCCUCAUGGCCCUUAUGGGUAGGGCUUCACACGUCAUACAAUGGUGCAUACAGAGGGUUGCCAAGCCGCGAGUUGGAGCUAAUCCCAGAAAAUGCAUCGUAGUCCGGAUCGUAGUCUGCAACUCGACUACGUGAAGCUGGAAUCGCUAGUAAUCGCGGAUCAGCAUGCCGCGGUGAAUACGUUCCCGGGUCUUGUACACACCGCCCGUCACACCAUGGGAGUGGGCUUUACCAGAAGUAGUUAGCCUAACCGCAAGGAGGGCGAUUACCACGGUAGGGUUCAUGACUGGGGUGAAGUCGUAACAAGGUAGCCGUAUCGGAAGGUGCGGCUGGAUCACCUCCUUUAAGAGCGUGCAUCCUAGUUAGGCGUCCACACUUAUCGGUUUGUUUGAUGUUACAGCCAAGGGUCUGUAGCUCAGGUGGUUAGAGCACCGUCUUGAUAAGGCGGGGGUCGUAGGUUCAAGUCCUACCAGACCCACCAAGUUACGGACGGUGGAAGUCUCUGGGGGACCUUGGGGGACCACCAACCACACACGAGGGGUUAUUUUUAAGGGGUAGUUGCAUAGC